GAAUUUGUAAUUUAUAAUAAAAUUUCGAGCUGUGGUUUCGAGAAUAGAAUUUUCCUUUCUCAAGUUCU
rnacentral:tRNA from 1 species